rnacentral:rRNA from 1 species
UACGUAGGGUGCAAGCGUUAAUCGGAAUUACUGGGCGUAAAGCGUGCGCAGGCGGUGAUGUAAGACAGUUGUGAAAUCCCCGGGCUCAACCUGGGAACUGCGUCGGAUACUGGAUGGCUUGAAUCCGGGAGAGGGAUGCGGAAUUCCAGGUGUAGCGGUGAAAUGCGUAGAUAUCUGGAGGAACACCGGUGGCGAAGGCGACACGCUGGGCCGUACCUGACACUGAUGCGCGACAGCAUGGGGAGCAAACAGG